AAUGUUAACUAGUUUGGGAAUUUAAGCCAAUUAAAUUGUGUGAUCAUAAAUUUGAUUUUUUUUUUUGUGGGAUUGUCCCUUAGCCAUAUUUUAGGACACUUAGUGUAAUAUGUAAUGUACUGCAGAGGCUUGAAAAUACAGGAAUACUCAGCAGAUAACUGUAUUGUGUAUAUCAAGAACCUUUCCAUUACAAAGAUUUUAUUUUGUGCUAUUAAUCAUAAUUUUGGAUUACCAGCUCUGUUGGAAUAUUUUUGGAAUGCAAACUGACAACUUCUUGCAGGAUGUCUAACAGACCUAGGGACAAGUAGGCAAAUUUCUUUGUGUGAAAUGUAAGCUUGUUUGUGAUAAUGAAUUUCACUGAAAUUUUGUGCUUUUACCUUCAGGAGUCUUAUCAUAAGCUUAGGAGUGUGUUGUCUUUGACUGUAGCUCCUUUUAAAAAGGACAGCAGGAUAGGAUGUGUCUGGUGGUAUGAAGUUCUGCUGAGUUUCCAAUUCUAGAUAUUUUAAUCACUUCACCAGUUUAUAUAUUCACAGUGGAUGAAAGAUGUCUCAGCUGAGACAUGCUGAUGAAUAUGAAAGGAAGCAUAGUGUGCUUAGUCACAGAAAGGUUUGUGUGGGUUUCAGUAGUACUGUAAACAGAUGUGAGCUGAAGUUAAGGGAGAAAUAAACAGCUGUUUGGAUUCCUCUCUGAUUCACCCACUAGAGGUGAACCUCCCACCUCACUUUUUGGUGCUAUUUGAACAUUGGCAUCCUCAUAUGCAUUACUAUGGAUGUUACAUAUCUGCUGGCAGGAGACCUGGAAUGGUGAUAUAAAAAAUGGAAGCAGUUUAGCUGUUACAUAGCUCUGUUCCCUAUGGAUACCAAGGUGGUUUGAAGAAAAACCACAAUCCUUGUUUUACUGCUGGAGUAGACAAAAUAAGAGGUAUAAAGCAGUUUUACCAAAUUCAUCUAGGAAGUCAGUGGCAAAAAGGGGGAUUAAACCCACAGCCUACUCCAUUACUAUGUCCAUCUUAUAUCUUUGAAGGAAUGAAGGACAGAAGAAGAGGUGUUCUCUCUGAAUACACAGGUUGACCUGAAUUGGCAGGUGUUUUCCAUCUCUGUCAGGGAGAGACAUCCAUUCCUGCUCUCCUAGGCUUCCUCUUUGGAGGUAGCAUAUUACUUAUGGUAGGUAUAGGAAACAUAUUAAGCUAAGUAAGAAGAUCAGUUUAUUCUCCUAAAAGUGGUUGUCAGCGUAAGUGUUCAGUCAUGGCCAGCAGUAUCUGCUGCAGGUGAGAUUUUAGCUGGCAGCUAAAAUCACAACUAAACAUCACCAACUAGGCCUGUGAUGCCCCCUUGAGGCAGGGGAAGGGUUCAGUGCUGAGCCCAGAGCAGUCCUAUUGAGUUCCUCUUUGCAGUCAGAAGCACACAGUUGUGGACCACUGUGUGUCAGAGGAUGCUUGUAUUGUGCCCUGGGUGAUAUGCAGUGUGUGAUGUACCAGGCCGUGUAAUAGCUGAAGAUGCAUUGUAUCCAAGGUCUAGGGAAAUAAACUUUACAUCUGGUGUCACCUGAAUUGGAUUCCGCUUUUCUGAGGAGCUAGAUUUUGGUGGAACAUCGUGAUGUGCUUCUGGUUAUAAAUACUCACAAAAAGAUGUUUGCAAGCAUGAGGAGGAGCCAGAAGAAUAGAAGGAGACGUGGCUAGAAUCCAAGGCGAGAUUGGCAAAGCAAGCUGAUGGCAGCAGAACAGAAGAAUAGAGAGGGAAGGAUCAUCUGCUGAAGGUGUGGAAAACAGAAAGGCUUCACAACUCAAAUGUGGUGGUACCAAGGCGUGUGAUUUUUAUUUUUAUUUUGACUGGAAGAGAAACAGUUGAGCUUCAGGUUCUGCUGAGAGUUCAAUAUGAAGCUGCAGAGAAAAGCAAAAAUGACUUGAGAAACUGAAAUGGAAGAUGAAGCAUAGCCAAUAAAUAUGUACAUGUGCAUCAAAGAGAAAUGGAGAAUGCAGUUCACUUGGUGUGCCCUGUGUUUGCUGCAUUUGGCAGUGCACACAGAAAAGGAGAACAAGUAACCUGGCUUAAACUGCAAGCCAUAAAAACUUAACUUCCAAAGACUUUUCCUGCUUUAAAGACCAGCAAGUUAUUUCCUUAUUUUCUAUUUCUUUUAUACUUUCUUUGACUUCCCUUUGCUGAAUUUCUGUUGUCUUCUUAUUGUCAAAUGGCAGAUGUUUACACAAUUUUUGUUUGUUUGGUCCUGCUGUAUAAAAAUACUGGCAUUUUAAAGACAAAUGGCAACUUAGGGGGUACACAAAUACCUUGUAGCUCCUUUCAAUAGUAUUUCAUUCUGAUAUAAAGGUAAUAUGCUUUGCAGUGUUUCUAAAAGUCACCCUACCAUUCAAGGGUAGUGAUAGCAGAUGUGUGACAGCACAAUUGCCAUCAAACCUGCCCAGGUCAAGUGAACCUGUAUUGUUAAGGAUACUGUACUAAUCAAAUAAAUGCUGGACAGAUUGCUAUUA